rnacentral:rRNA from 1 species
AGCGAACGCUGGCGGCAGGCCUAACACAUGCAAGUCGAACGAACCUCUCGGGGUUAGUGGCGGACGGGUGAGUAACACGUGGGAACGUGCCUUUAGGUUCGGAAUAACUCAGGGAAACUUGUGCUAAUACCGAAUGUGCCCUUCGGGGGAAAGAUUUAUCGCCUUUAGAGCGGCCCGCGUCUGAUUAGCUAGUUGGUUGAGGUAAUGGCUCACCAAGGCGACGAUCAGUAGCUGGUCUGAGAGGAUGAUCAGCCACAUUGGGACUGAGACACGGCCCAAACUCCUACGGGAGGCAGCAGUGGGGAAUCUUGCGCAAUGGGCGAAAGCCUGACGCAGCCAUGCCGCGUGAAUGAUGAAGGUCUUAGGAUUGUAAAAUUCUUUCACCGGGGACGAUAAUGACGGUACCCGGAGAAGAAGCCCCGGCUAACUUCGUG